rnacentral:rRNA from 1 species
GCGUCGAUUGUAAUUUGCAGAGGAUGCCCUGGCGAGGCGCCUGCCGAAUUCCUGGAACGGGACGCCGUGGAGGGUGAGAGCCCCGUGCGGCCGGCCGCCGAGCCUCUGUGGGGCUCCUUCGACGAGUCGAGUAGUUUGGGAAUGCUGCUCUAAACGGGAGGUAAACCCCUUCUAAAGCUAAAUACCGGCCAGAGACCGAUAGCGCACAAGUAGAGUGAUCGAAAGAUGAAAAGCACUUUGAAAAGAGAGUCAAACAGCACGUGAAAUUGUUGAAAGGGAAGCGCUCGUGGCCAGACUGCGGCCGGCAGCUCACCGCCCCUCGCGGGCGGUGCACUCUGCCGGCCCAGCCACAUCGGUUCGCGGCGGNGGAGAANGGCGGCGGGAACGUGGCUUCUAGGAGUGUUACAGCCCGCCGCUAUCCCCGCCGGGGACGAAGUUUGCGCCCAAGGAUCUUGCGUAAUGGCCACCACGACCCGUCUUGAAACACGGACCAAGGAGUCGUCCUAGCAUGCGAAUGUUCCGGUGCGAAGCCCUACGCGAAAUGAAAGUGAACGGAGGUAAAACUUCGGCGCAUCAUCGACCGAUCUGACGUCUCGGAUGGAUUUGAGUAGGAACAUCUUGGCCGGACCCCAAAGAAGUGAACUAUCUUGGAUAGGGCAAAACCCGAGGAAACUUUGUGGAGGUUCCCAACGGGUCUUACUGCAAAUCGAUCGUCAAACUUAGCCUUGGGGCAAAAACUANA